GUGCAGAGGAAAGACAAACAGAGUAUCCUGUAGCACUGUGAGCCAUGGGGUAUGCUGGAUACAACAUGGUGACUGCCAGAACUAUGUGCCAGGGCUCCAGAUCCCAACAGAGAUGACUCAUCUAGCAAGACUGGCUUUGCGAGCUCCACAUUUUAAUGGAGAAAGUGGUGGUAUAAAAGCUACCAUUGAUCUGUAAGGCGGGUGUUCAUGAAGGAUGCACAACAUCCUACCAAGUUGAAGCUUUUACUAAGGGUCCUUCACACUUAGUGUCUUCCAAUAUGCUUUAAAUGCAUCUAUGUCGACAAUGAACUAUUCAUUUUCAUUGAUGAAAUCCUGAUUUCACCUGGGGCAGCACUGACAAGAGAAUGCAGUUCUGUCUUACACGCGUUUCGGCCGGCCAGGAAAGACGCAACAAACCGGAAUCUUCUGCGGCAAAACUUUAUUGCUUACAUCUUCAGGAG